AGAGUUUGAUCCUGGCUCAGGAUGAACGCCGGCGGUGUGCCUAAUACAUGCAAGUCGUACGCACUGGCCCAACUGAUUGAUGGUGCUUGCACCUGAUUGACGAUGGAUCACCAGUGAGUGGCGGACGGGUGAGUAACACGUAGGUAACCUGCCCCGGAGCGGGGGAUAACAUUUGGAAACAGAUGCUAAUACCGCAUAACAACAAAAGCCACAUGGCUUUUGUUUGAAAGAUGGCCUUGGCUAUCACUCUGGGAUGGACCUGCGGUGCAUUAGCUAGUUGGUAAGGUAACGGCUUACCAAGGCGAUGAUGCAUAGCCGAGUUGAGAGACUGAUCGGCCACAAUGGAACUGAGACACGGUCCAUACUCCUACGGGAGGCAGCAGUAGGGAAUCUUCCACAAUGGGCGCAAGCCUGAUGGAGCAACACCGCGUGAGUGAAGAAGGGUUUCGGCUCGUAAAGCUCUGUUGUUGGAGAAGAACGUGCGUGAGAGUAACUGUUCACGCAGUGACGGUAUCCAACCAGAAAGUCACGGCUAACUACGUGCCAGCAGCCGCGGUAAUACGUAGGUGGCAAGCGUUAUCCGGAUUUAUUGGGCGUAAAGCGAGCGCAGGCGGUUGCUUAGGUCUGAUGUGAAAGCCUUCGGCUUAACCGAAGAAGUGCAUCGGAAACCGGGCGACUUGAGUGCAGAAGAGGACAGUGGAACUCCAUGUGUAGCGGUGGAAUGCGUAGAUAUAUGGAAGAACACCAGUGGCGAAGGCGGCUGUCUGGUCUGCAACUGACGCUGAGGCUCGAAAGCAUGGGUAGCGAACAAGGUUAGAUACCCUGGUAGUCCAUACCGUAACAGAUGAGUUGCUUAGGUGUUUGGGAGGGUUUUCCGCCCCUUCAGUGCCGGAGCUAACGCAUUAAGCACUCCGCCUGGGGAGUACGACCGCAAGGUUGAAACUCAAAGGGAAAUUGACGGGGGCCCGCACAAGCGGUGGAGCAUGUGGUUUAAUUCGAAGCUACGCGAAGAACCUUACCAGGUCUUGACAUCUUGCGCUAGCCUUAGAGAUAAGGCGUUCCCUACGGGGACGCAAUGACAGGUGGUGCAUGGUCGUCGUCAGCUCGUGUCGUGAGAUGUUGGGUUAAGUCCCGCAACGAGCGCAACCCUUGUUACUAGUUGCCAGCAUUAAGUUGGGCACUCUAGUGAGACUGCCGGUGACAAACCGGAGGAAGGUGGGGACGACGUCAGAUCAUCAUGCCCCUUAUGACCUGGGCUACACACGUGCUACAAUGGACGGUACAACGAGUCGCAAGCUCGCGAGAGUAAGCUAAUCUCUUAAAGCCGUCCUCAGUUCGGACUGUAGGCUGCAACUCGCCUACACGAAGUCGGAAUCGCUAGUAAUCGCGGAUCAGCAUGCCGCGGUGAAUACGUUCCCGGGCCUUGCACACACCGCCCGUCA
rnacentral:rRNA from 1 species